GAACGAACGCUGGCGGCAUGCCUAACACAUGCAAGUCGAACGAAGCCUUCGGGCUUAGUGGCGCACGGGUGCGUAACACGUGGGAAUCUGCCCUUCGGUUCGGAAUAACAGUUAGAAAUGACUGCUAAUACCGGAUGAUGACGUAAGUCCAAAGAUUUAUCGCCGAAGGAUGAGCCCGCGUAGGAUUAGGUAGUUGGUAGGGUAAUGGCCUACCAAGCCGACGAUCCUUAGCUGGUCUGAGAGGAUGAUCAGCCACACUGGGACUGAGACACGGCCCAGACUCCUACGGGAGGCAGCAGUGGGGAAUAUUGGACAAUGGGCGAAAGCCUGAUCCAGCAAUGCCGCGUGAGUGAUGAAGGCCUUAGGGUUGUAAAGCUCUUUUACCAGGGAUGAUAAUGACAGUACCUGGAGAAUAAGCUCCGGCUAACUCCGUG
rnacentral:rRNA from 1 species